UACAUGCAAGACGAACGGUAAGUUGAGUAGCAAUACUUAGCCAAGAGUGUCGUACGGGUGCGUAACACGUAUGCAACCUACCCUAUACAGGAGGAUAGCCUAGGGAAACCUGGAUUAACCCUUCAUAGUAUUAUUGGAUGGCAUCAUUUGAUAGUUAAAACUGAGGUGGUAUAGGAUGGGCAUGCGUCUGAUUAGUUAGUUGGCGGGGUAAUGGCCCACCAAGACGAUGAUCAGUAGGGGUUCUGAGAGGAAGAUCCCCCACACUGGCACUGAGAUACGGGCCAGACUCCUACGGGAGGCAGCAGUAGGGAAUAUUGGUCAAUGGAUGCAAGUCUGAACCAGCCAUGCCGCGUGCAGGAAGAAGGCCUUCUGGGUUGUAAACUGCUUUUGCCAGGGGAUAAAAUUUCCAUGCGUGGAAAACUGAAGGUACCUGGUGAAUAAGCCACGGCUAACUACGUG
rnacentral:rRNA from 1 species